UUAAAAAAAAAACAGUUAUUGGCAUGACACGGUUUAUGUUCUUCUCAUAUAUCUUAUGAUAGUAUGAUACUAAACCCCUAACGGGAGGGAUUUUGCCUGAUAUUCAUAUAAUGAAGACAUAAUCUUUCAAUCAGUUUAAUUGAGGUCUGGAGCUGGCAUGUCAGUUAACUGCUAGUAGUCUGUUGUUAUUUAUGUCUUAUUGUCAUUUUACUUAUUUUCUUUUGUUACAUCUUUUGACAUCGGACUCGGACUUCUCUUGAACUGAAUUUUAAUGUGCGUAUUGUUAUGCGUUUACUUUUCUACAUUGGCUAGAGGUAUAGGGGGAGGGUUGAGAUCUCAUAAACAUGUUAACCCCGCCGCAAUGUUGCGCCUGUCCCAAGUCAGGAGCCUCUGGCCUUUGUUCGUCUUGUAUGAUUUUUAAUUUUAGUUUCUUGUGUAUAAUUCAAUGUUUAGUAUGACGUCCAUUAUUCCUGUACUAGUAUACAUAUUUUAGGGGCCAGCUGACGGACACCUACGGGUGCGGGAAUUCUCGCUACAUUGAAGACCCAUUGGUGGCAUUCGGCUGUUGUCUGCUCUAUGGUCGGGUUGUUGUUGCUUUGACACAUUCCCCAUUUCCUUUCUCAAUUUUAUCAGUGCACAAAAAACAACAUAGAAACUUAAAACUAAGCAGCACGAACCCCAUCAUAAACUGAGGCUUUCCGGAAGGGUUAGCAGAUCCUGUUCCAAAUGCCUCUGUAGUAUACAAUUAUAAGUUUUUUUGUUCAGUAAUUUAUAAAUGUUUUAGCAAAA
rnacentral:lncRNA from 1 species